GAGUGUAACCAUGGAGACCCAUUGAAACCAGCUGGGCCAUUACCAUCUAGAAGCUGGUGGGGAUGUGGCAAUUAGAAGGACUGUUAGCCCUAGUUAAUGUGGUCAAGUGAUGUCAAUUGUUUAGUUUUUAGGUGCAAGGAACAGAACCGACGCUGCUGGACUUAAGGAGCAAAGGAAUUUAUCAGAAGGAUAUUGGAUGGCUUGCAGGAACCUGAGAGGCCCAGAGCCAGGCACUGAGGCUCUGCAGCCAGGAACAAUUGCCCACAAGAAAGCCUUAGAAACACUUCUGUGCUGGACCCCACAAGUUCCACCACUGACAACACGGGAUCAAUAAUGCGGCUACGGUCACUGCCAUCAUCUGCUCUGUACCGCACCUGCUUCUUCCAAACCCCUGAUUUCUCAUCAAUCAGGGUUAGGGAAGAUGUCCCUGACUGGCCUGUGCCUUCAGUUGUGCUCAAGGAGCUGGAAAAGCAAGAUCUGGCUUAAAGAAAGAAGCCCUCUUCUGCCUGAGACCAAGUAAUCAACAAUGUAACUACAGAUGGAGUCUCACUGUGUCGCCCUGGCUAGAGUGAAGUGGCGCAAUCUCGGCUCACUGCAACCUCCACCACCCAGGUUCAAGCAAUUCUGCCUCAGCCUCCUGAGUAGCCGGGAUUACAGGCACGUGCCACCAAACCCAGCUAAUUUUUGUAUUUUUAGUAAAGAUGGGGUUUUGCCAUGUUGGCCAGGCUGGUCUUGAACUCCUGACCUCAGGUGAUCCACCCACCUCGGCCUCCCAAAGUGCUGGGAUUACAGGCAUGAGCCACUACACCUAGCCCCUGUCUCUCUUUUUCUUUCUUUCUCUCUUUUUCUUUCUUUCUCUUUCUCCCUUCGUUCCUCCUUCCUUCCUCUUCCUUCCUCUCUUCUUUCUUUCUUUUUCUUUCUUUCUCUCUUUCUCUCCUCCUCUCUUUCUCUCUCUCUUUCAAGACAGGGUCUAACUCUGUUGCCCAUGCUACAGUGCAAUGGCACAAUUACAGCUCACGGACUGCAGCCUCAAAUCCCAGGCCCAAGCAAUCCUCCCACCUCAGCCUCCAGAGUAGAUAGGACUACAGGUGUGUGCCACCACACCUGACUAAUUUUUUAAAAUUUUUCUGUGGAGAUGGGGUUUCACCACGUUGCCCAGGCUCUUCUCAAACUCAUGGGCUGAAGCGUUCCUCCCACCUCGGCCUCCCAUAUUGCUGAGAUUACAGGCAUGAAACACCACGCCCAGCCUAUCUUUCACGAUGAGUGUUCUAAAGACCAUAUGGUGGAAAUUCUAGCAAACAACAAUAAUUUGGCACUUAAUAAAUGGUUGGGUGCAGCAGCUCAGACUUAUAAUCCCAGCAAUUUCGGAGACUGAGGUGGCAGGAUCCUUUGAGUCCAGGAGUUCGAGACCAACCCGGGCAACAUAAUGAGAUUCUCUCUACAAAAAAAAGAAAAAAUUAAAAAGCCAGGCAUGGUGGCACACACCUGUAGUCCCAGCUACUCAGGAGGCUGAGGUAGGAGGAUUGCUUGAGCCCAGGAGGUCGAGGCUGCAGUGAGCAUGAUUGCACCACAAAUGUUUCUUUUUAAAAUAUAUAUUUAUAUGUAUUGUGCAGUCACUACCUAAGCCUUCUGUAAGCAUCAUUUUAUUUACCUUUCACAAUAUUCCUAGAUGUUAUGUAGUUUAUAGAUGAUCAAGCAGCUUGUAAGAGGUGCAGUCAGGGUUUAAAUCUGCUCAUUUGACUUCAAAGCCUGAGCUCUUAAUUACUAAACACAGACUCUCAAAAAUAUCCUCCAGAGGGUGCGGCAGUGCAUGCCUCUAGUCCCAGCUCCUCAAGAAGCUAAAGCAAGAGGAUCACUUGAGUCCAGGAGUUGAGUCCAGCCUGGGCAAAAUAACAUAGACACCCAAUCUAAAAAAAAAAAAAAUCCUCCAUACUUCUUCACACUAUCUGCACAUAUAACCUGCUCUAGAGAUAGAGGCAGCUCCACUUGUAAUACAGUAGCAUGUCUGACAUGAAA
rnacentral:lncRNA from 1 species